UGGGGGGUUGGCGAUUAUAUUGUUUUAUUUUAAAAGCCUAUUUCGAAUAGCUUUUCCAAUUGUAUUAAAUCAAAUAUAGAGUACCAAACAAAAUAAUGCAUAUUACACAUACUGACUUUGCCUUUAUCACAGAAAUAAUUUAUUUUUGGUUUCACAUGUCAAAGUAUUUCCCCAUUCUUUUUGCCGUAUAUGGUUCGCUCCUGAGUUUCAGUAAAGAGUCGCGAGCCAGCAACAUCAAUAGCCAGCUCAAUGAAGAUGGCGGAUCUGUGAGGGAUGCUGUCAACAGGACUUUAAACUUUCACAUUUUCCGAUCUUUGACCGACGGUGUUUGGAUAGCUGUCUACGAGAAUCACCACCUGCCUCCUGACAAGACGAGUUAGAGCGGGCCGGACGAGCGUGGAGGAGAGCGAGAGGGGGAGAGCAGCAGCGGUGGUGGAAACAAGUUCUGUUGACAGUUCCUGAUUGACCGCUCACACCGACGCUUGUUGACCAACAGACAGACCGACCCGACUGACCACCAGUCAAAAAGAUCCACGGGGGGCAGUGACGGAGAAGUUUAGGCUCUGGACUUCAAGAGAAGAGGCCUUUGAAGGUGUCUACUCGUCUCUCCUCCCACGCCCUAAGGAUGGCCAGGCUAGGGCUCCGUUGGGGGCCACGUUCACGGAUGUGUCCCAGCGGGGAGCACAUUAAGCAGGGACGCUGCUGAGCCUGGAGGAGGUGACAGGAGAAGGCUGCAACUCCACCAGAGA